GCUGAGUAACACUGUCCCUUAGCAACUCUGACCGGUUUUCAAGAAAGAAGUGUCUCAUCUUACCCCAUUGCUGUGGAUGCACAUGGAGACAGUUUCCCGGGUUUCAGCAUGAUCAGAUGUCCAUGCCACAAGAGCUGGGGCUCGUUCACUCCCCCACCCAGGGCCCGGGAAGCAGACUUUGACAACCACACCGCAAACCUGUGCAUUGAGACAUUCCAGAAACUAGGUGUUAUAAAACUGCUGUGUGCCUAGCCCUGUGCUAUCAGGGAGGCAGAGGGCAUACAAGGCAUUGCCCCAAACUCCAGGAGCUUCCAGCACAAAGACGAUGUCUUCCUUCUGAUUGCAAGAUGUUGCUGUAGUUCCUGGCACCAGCAGAUGCAAUCCUCCAGAGUUGGAAAGAGCCAUUUCCUCCAGGGCGGCUCCUUUUUUUAGGAGAGAAACUCUUUUGCAGUAAUCCCGCACCCCAUCCCCCAAACUCUCCUUUAGGUCCACAUGACGAGAUGGGGUUUGCCGGUCUGUGCCCUGAAUGAGAAGCUGAGGAGGGGAGUAUUGGCAUUUUAAGUCUUCAUAGUGGGAGGUGGGUCCUACCAGCAAGGGGAGUGGGAUGUCUCAGCCAAGAAUGUCUAUUAUGUAA